rnacentral:lncRNA from 1 species
GCUAGUGCAAUUACCUCAUUUAAUGCCCCUCUUAUGUAUCUCCACAGUUAUAUAUAUCCAUCCAAAACAUGGAUAUAUCAAACCAAAAAUUUAUAUUUGUAUUAAUGUCCUAACUCUUUAUUAAUAGUACAAUAUCCUAAACCCAACACAUGAGACUUUAGUCCCUACCUUAAUUUACUACCCAAUUAUUAUAUAACAAGUAGGGUUCUUCCACCCAUUUUCUUCACCACCAUUCUCCAAAUUAAUGAAAAUGUAAAUAAUAAUUAAUGGAGUCCAAAAUCCGAUCAAUGUAUGCAAAUCAGUAAAUUCUGAGGCACAUGUUCCUACGUGUGUAUUUCUUUCUUACGAUGGCCAUGAAAGUCUAUUGAAAUGGUCUAUAUAUAUUAAAAUAUAUAUGCAAUUGUCCUUGACCCCACUAGCUAUCAAAUCCGAUUUCAAAGGGCAAGCGCAUCACCAAAACGGGUAUGAUUCUGGAGCAAGUUUCGUUUUAGGUUUUGGUGUUGUAGUUUUCUAUUGCUUUGGUCUUCUGGGUGGUGGUGGGUUGCUUUGGUCUUCUGCGCAGCAAUUUAGAGCAGGUCGAUGAUGAAGUUCGAGAGUGGGUAUAGUGUUGUAGGGGCUGUGUUCAAUAGUAAAAGGAUGGAAAUAAAUUGGAAAAGAGAACACAAUUUUGUUUUUAUUCUUGCCCUACAACCGUUAAAGGGUUAUAAUAGAAUUUUAUUAUGAACUAUCAUAAAACUUCAAAUCAUAUUCACAAAAAAAAAACAGGUCAAGCUAUAUAUAUAUA